rnacentral:rRNA from 1 species
UACCAGACUCCUACGGGAGGCAGCAGUGGGGAAUAUUGCACAAUGGGGGAAACCCUGAUGCAGCGACGCCGCGUGAAGGAAGAAGGCUUUCGGGUUGUAAACUUCUUUUGACAGGGAAGAGCAGAAGACGGUACCUGUCGAAUAAGCCACGGCUAACUACGUGCCAGCAGCCGCGGUAAUACGUAGGUGGCAAGCGUUGUCCGGAUUUACUGGGUGUAAAGGGCGUGUAGCCGGGCUGACAAGUCAGAUGUGAAAGCCCGGGGGCCAACCCCGGGACUGCUCUGGAAACUGCGGCGCUGGAGUGCGGGAGGGGCAGGCGGAAUUCCUGGUGUAGCGGUGAAAUGCGUAGAUAUCAGGAGGAACACCGGCGGCGAAGGCGGCCUGCUGGACCGUGACUGACGUUGAGGCUCGAGAGCGUGGGGAGCAAACAGGAUUAGAUACCCCCGUAA